rnacentral:tRNA from 1 species
GGGUCAGUAACUCAACUGGCAGAGUGCCGGUCUCCAAAACCGGUCGUUGCAGGUUCGAUCCCUGCCUGGCCCG